UGCAAACGAUGCUAAUUACUUGUUGCUUAAUACAAUUGAUGACAACCACCAAGAUCGCUGAUGCA
ensembl:snoRNA SNORD24 Small nucleolar RNA SNORD24